rnacentral:rRNA from 1 species
CAGCCGCCGCGGGAAUACGAAGGGGGCUAGCGUUGUUCGGAAUUACUGGGCGUAAAGCGCACGUAGGCGGAUAUUUAAGUCAGGGGUGAAAUCCCAGAGCUCAACUCUGGAACUGCCUUUGAUACUGGGUAUCUUGAGUAUGGAAGAGGUAAGUGGAAUUGCGAGUGUAGAGGUGAAAUUCGUAGAUAUCCGCAGGAACACCAGUGGCGAAGGCGGCUUACUGGUCCAUUACUGACGCUGAGGUGCGAAAGCGUGGGGAGCAAACAGGAUUAGAUACCCCAGUAGUCCCUGUCUCUUAUAC